rnacentral:lncRNA from 1 species
ACGCCACUACAUCGCCAAGAUCGAUCCCCUCCCAUCCGCCAUGGUCGAUCCCCAUCCUCCCUCACAGAAAUCGUCGUGCCAUGUUCGAUCCUCGUCUCUCGUCGCAGAAAUCGCUCGCACAGCCGCAUCUUCCGCCGCCACGGCUUCUUUCGUCGCCUUUCUUAGCAGCGGCGCCCUUGGCUCCCUUUCUUCUCCAUGAGCACUGUGUGCAGGUCUGAGGUGGCGUCCAAGAAGAUCGGCAGCAGCGCCCUUGCUUUCCCCUCCUUUGGCAACGAUCUGCAUGCUCCGGUUUACCUUGCUUUUAUUCAGUUCAAGGUUAACACUGCCUCCAUUUUACCGUUUUUGAAGUCUUACAGGUUUUGGGGUCUACCUUCCAUGAAUAUAAUGGCUACUAUUGAAACCAGAAAUAACUCUUAUAAGUUAUACACACCUGUUUUGGCUGGUGCACCUCUACUAGCUAGCGAUGAUGAGUUCGCUACAUAUUUCCGUUUGUCUUCAAGGCGAUCAAUGCCACAGUGUCUAUAUACCAGUCCAAUUGGUGCUUAUAUUGGCAAUAUUUCCAUUUGGUGCAUUGAUCUUCAGUUCAAGAUAAAUAAUGGUCUGCGUAUGUUCUAUUUUUCUUACCGUUGUCAUUGUCAAAUGUUUGUUGGGGAUGUUACUGAUACACGAGCUUUUGAUCUACACAAAUGCCAUGGUGGUUGUUACCUCUAACCAUAUUAUAUUACCAUUGCAUUUAUAUCUUAAGAUUUAAAUUGCAUUUCGACAUAAAGGGAUUAUGAUAUUUUAAAAUUUUUCUAAUUUACGUUUGGUAUACCAUGACAAUAAUAUAGCAGUUUAGGUUUUUAGUUAAUUGUAUUGGUUGAGAAUGAGUUGGAGUUGUUUUGUUGGAUUUCUAUCGUUACAAUUGUUGCUUUCAAUUGUGUACGAGAAAAUAUUUCAAACUUAACUUGACAGGCCAUAUAUAUUCUGCAGUAUAUUUUACACACCCAUUGGCUUGGAAACUAAGUCUAACUAGCAUAUUUUAUUUGAUUCAACCACUCUUUUGUUGAUUAAAUAAUGGUUAGUUUGUCCCAGAUUAUUUGAAUUUCUACAUAUAUAAUUGAUCGCCUUUUUUCAUGACUUUCUUUUAGUAGAGUUUAUGGUUUGAUGCAUGUGGUUUACUAUCUGCUACGUAUGUUAACUUAAAAAGGAAUCUGAGCUUGUAAUAGUUGUGUGCUACUAUUGUCAUUUUAACAUGGGUCUAUAUUGUAACUGGGAUCUACCUGAAGUUGAGUUGGUGGUUCUACUAUUUUGUAAUCACGAUGAAGUUGACUUGGUUCUGCCAUUAUGUAAUCUCAAGCGAUAUGCUGAUUUUUUUUCUUAUGUCUAUACAUAUUACGAGUUGGUG